AAGUCGUAACAAGGUUUCCGUAGGUGAACCUGCGGAAGGAUCAUUACAAUACGUACUUCACGUACAAACCAAAACGUUGAACCGUAAAGCGUCCGAUAGGGAUUGGGGUAUGGGCCGGCGGCUUUGAGGUGGAUACACCAAACAAUCAAAACCUGUUAUGGGUUUUGAAGGUGAUCGAAAGUGCCUCGGUCGGUUCUUUUUCCCUUUGUUGAGUCUCGUACUCGCAAAUGUGGAAAAGCCCUGUUCCUAGUUCGCGUAUUUAUCCAUUCAAACACUUUUGCAUCGCCUUUUUUUCAUUUUUAACCCUUUUCACCUUUUUACUUCAACAAUCUGAACUGACUUCGAGCACCGUAACAAGUGCUUGAUUCAUUUUUACGAAACGUAAAGAACAACUCUUAACAACGGAUAUCUUGGCUCUC
rnacentral:misc_RNA from 1 species